GUUGCUACAAAUAGCCUCAGUCAGUCAGUCAGAGGCGCUGGAGUCAAUGAGAAAACAGAAUUCAAUAUCCGGAAUAACACUGGCUUCUUCAGGCCCACGGGUGGGGGACAAACAAGCAAAAAUAAGUCAAAUAUAAGUUCCUUAGAUAAGGUGAAAAUGUCUGCCCAACAAGUUUGUCUAGGAGAAACUGACGCAGAUAAAACUGUUGAAAGUGUUAUAAAACAUAAAGCUGAUUCUAAAGAGAUAGCCCCUAUAACACCUGAGAAUGUAACUCUAGACUCCAGUAUAGAAGAAGCCAAUGUAGUCUUGAAUCUUUUCUUAAACAACAAAUUUACAGAAGCCAGGCAACGCUUAGAACCAUGUGCUGGCUACAGUAUAUACCAUUCCUUAAGCUACAGUGUCAUUCUGUAUAUCCAAGCUAUGAUGACAUUUGACAUGGCAGACAUUGAAAAUGCCAUUGCUGCCAUCAAGAAAACAAUAAUUGUGUCAAACAAUUCCAGACGAAAAGGAAACUUGAUAGGUUCCUUGGCCCGUUCAACUAAAGAUCAAUACGAUAGCUAUACCGAAGCGGAAUGCCAUGCUGAACUUUGUUACGCCGAAGCCCUCCUAAUCCGAGCAAUGCUCACUUUUGUCCAAGACGAGAACUUGAUAAGUUUCGUGAAAGGUGGCCUGAAAAUCAGGGAAUGUUAUAAAACUUACAAAGACUGCAGCAAGAUGCUUCAACAAAGAAACUGUCCCAAUGAUAAACAUAAAGCUCAUUUUGAGAGUGGAGUCUGUAUGGGAAUUGGAUCAUUCAAUUUGAUGAUAUCCAUGUUACCAGGGAAGAUUUUACGUUUGCUUGAGUUUGUUGGAUUCACUGGCUACAAGAAUGAAGGAUUAAUUGAGCUGGACAAAGGAAGCCAACUUCAUACCAGUCUGAGAGGUCCACUCUGUUCAAUCAUCUUAGUGGCCUACCACACCGUGGUCAGUUUUGUUUUAGGUUUAGGUGAUGGUGAUGUGGAUUAUGCAGCUAAAGUGCUGAAGCCUUGUAUUAAAACAUAUCCGAAGGGAGCCUUGUUCCUAUUUUUCUCUGGUCGUGUGGAGGUUGUAAGGGCCAACAUUGAUGAGGCUGUGAUGAAAUUUGAAGAAUCCAUAGAAUCUCAAUCAGAAUGGAGACAGUUCCACCAUUUAUGUUACUGGGAACUCAUGUGGUGUCAUUGCUACAAGAAUGACUGGCUGAUUGCCAUGAAAUAUGCUGAACGACUCUGCAGGGAGAGUCGCUGGAGUAAGGCCACAUACACCUACCAAAAGGCAUCUUUCUUGAUGAUGUGUGAAAAUCCAACAGAAGACACCACCACCCACCUCGAGUACUUACUUGGGGAGGUCCCUAAACUGAAGCAACGGAUUGCUGGCAAGUCCCUCCCCAUUGAAAAGUUUGCUGUUUGUAAAGCCAAUAGAUUCUUUAGUCAAGGCGGCAAGUUGACGUUGCCUGGAUUGGAACUUCUUUAUGUGUGGAAUGGCUUUACAAUAAUUGGAAAGAAAGAGCAUCUGUUGACCCCGUUUAUGGAUAUGGUUGAAUCUACCAUCAAUACCAUCACAUCGAAUCCUGAUGCUUAUCCCAAUUACCACGAUGACUACAGUCUAGCUCUUUUACUGAAGGGAGUUUGUCUCAAAUACCGAGGACAAUAUUUCCAAGCUGAGCAAUGUUUCCUGGAGGUUAUUGGAUAUGAAAAGAAGAUAAAGAUCGAUACUUAUUUGGUCCCUUAUGCUCACCUGGAGCUGUCACUGAUGUACCUGAUUCUACAGAAGCCAGCUGAUGUCCAGAAUUAUAUACAAAAAGCCAAAAGAAACUACAAAGGCUACAUGCUUGAGUCUCGACUUCAUUUCCGCAUCCAUGCAGUGAAGAUCCAGCUGCAUGCCAAAUUCCAAAAUAAUUGUGAGAAUGACAGCGCACCACAGACACCAGGUGCUAACGAGAAAGAGAAAUUACUGGGUAGUAACGAGCAAAGCCCCACAUAACAUAAGAGUUUGGACACUUAGAAUUACUAUUAUCACCUGCUGUUCUAUGAUUUACCUGUUCCCCAUAAAUUCCACACAAAACUUUAUCGCAUUUAUCUCAAUAUGAAAUUUAGAGAGUUAAUAGUCAGUGCCACUGGUCACCACGGUUAAAAAUCUACAUGUGCAUGUGUGUGUGUGUGCGUGUGUUUGUGUGUGUGUGUGUGUGUGUGUGUGUGUGUGUGUACACUUU
rnacentral:misc_RNA from 1 species